GAUGAACGCUAGCUACAGGCUUAACACAUGCAAGUCGCGGGGCAGCAUGGGGGUUGCUUGCAAUCCCCGAUGGCGACCGGCGCACGGGUGAGUAACGCGUAUCCAACCUGCCCUUCACCACGGGAUAACCCGGCGAAAGUCGGACUAAUACCGUAUGUUGUCCAUUGACGGCAUCCGAUUUGGACGAAAGGUUUGGCGGUGAAGGAUGGGGAUGCGUCCGAUUAGCUGGACGGCGGGGUGACGGCCCACCGUGGCGACGAUCGGUAGGGGUUCUGAGAGGAAGGUCCCCCACACUGGAACUGAGACACGGUCCAGACUCCUACGGGAGGCAGCAGUGAGGAAUAUUGGUCAAUGGGCGUAAGCCUGAACCAGCCAAGUAGCGUGCAGGAUGACGGCCCUAUGGGUUGUAAACUGCUUUUAUGCGGGGAUAAAGUGGCCCACGUGUGGGUUUUUGCAGGUACCGCAUGAAUAAGGACCGACUAAUUCCGUG
rnacentral:rRNA from 1 species